rnacentral:rRNA from 1 species
GACGAACGCUGGCGGCGCGCCUAAUACAUGCAAGUCGAACGAAGCUGUUUUAACUGGUGCUUGCACCGACUUAAACAACUGAGUGGCGAACGGGUGAGUAACACGUGGGUAACCUGCCCAGAAGCGGGGGAUAACAUUUGGAAACAGAUGCUAAUACCGCAUAAAAGUCAAAACCACAUGGUUUUGAUUUAAAAGAUGGCCUUUGUGCUAUCACUUCUGGAUGGACCUGCGGCGUAUUAGCUAGUUGGUAAGGUAAUGGCUUACCAAGGCAAUGAGACGUAGCCGAACUGAGAGGUUGAUCGGCCACAAUGGGACUGAGACACGGCCCAUACUCCUACGGGAGGCAGCAGUAGGGAAUCUUCCACAAUGGGCGCAAGCCUGAUGGAGCAACACCGCGUGAGUGAAGAAGGGUUUCGGCUCGUAAAACUCUGUUGUUAAAGAAGAACGUAUCUCCGAGUAACUGCUUAGGUAGUGACGGUAUUUAACCAGAAAGCCACGGCUAACUACGUGCCAGCCGCCGCGGUAA